rnacentral:lncRNA from 1 species
UUUCACACCUGGAUGUGCUCACUCAACCAAGAAUAUAGAGAAAGAGCUUCUGCCCUGAGACUCAGAAAAAUAUUCUCCUGUGCUUUGGUUCAGUAUAGAUUUCUAAACCCUGAUCAUUGCUUAAGAGAUAUUCACUGAGGUUGCUGAGACAAAGGAAAACCCACUCCCUUGGAGGAGCAUGACCUUUUCCUGUAAUUCUUCCCACUGCUGUUGUUGAGCUCCUUGGAUCCUGGCUCCUGGACACCAUCAUCAAGAAGACUUUAUGGAUGGGCUGUCCACCCACUGAGAGAAGAGGAGCAUCAGCUACAGUUUCUCUCUAGAUUGCCUUCUUCAUUUUGAGUAAUGACUGUCAGCAGGGUCAGAUUAAACACAAAACAACUGGACAAUUGCUUGGAGGACUAAACUAUAAGGGCACUAACAUGUCAAUAGUAGGCUAACACAUCCAUGGAAAAUAUAUUUACCAGCUCUUCUCUCAGGGAGGAUUCUGUGUGGGGUUGGAAGUAAUGAUUUGUUAAAUUCCUUAGGGGUAGAAAGUAGGGCAUAAUCAGAAUAUAGAGGAAUAUGCUGUUUGACUUCAGGGUUUCUGUUUUUCUUACUAGGAUAUAUAAAACAGGGACUCUAGCUAGAUUGUUUAUGACCACAGAGGGUAGGCUGAGUGCUCCCAUGAUCUUCCUGCUUGGUUCUUGCCCAUACAGAGGUCAGCCUUUCCUCUAAUAAAGAUUGAACAAGUAGUGGUCUGAGGGAGACACCAAUUCAUUACCCUACAUGUCUCUUCUCUGCACUCCAGGGCUUUGAUAAUAAAGACACUGGCAGACUAUCUAUCUUCCAUUUCUAUAAUGUGAGCCCUUAGGGAGUCUUCGUUCACUUGGGGGUGAGGGUCAUUGCUCACAGAGUAGUUCAAGUCAAAUGGAACUUGAACUCUUUGCCUAUGGGCCUGGUGGUCAGACUCUGUGUUGAGUUCAUUAGAUUAUUGGAGACACAAGGUAGAGCUGGAUGCUUCAAAAAUAUUUGGCUAAAGGAUGACAUUGCUGGUUAUUUGUAGAUAAAGCCAUGAUGGAACCUGCUUGGAAUCAUGAAAUAUGGAACUGGUGGUCAUGUUUAAAAAUACAACUAAUAGUUAAGUACCUACUGGACACUGUAGAGACUUAGGGGCUAGACAGACAUGGUUCCUGCCCCCUUGGAGCUUACACUGUAGCUUCCCCUUAGGUAUGAAGAACAGUGGCUACAACUAACAAAUGGCCACAAAGAUAUAAUUGAGCCAGUGUUCCAAUUAUUAGGGUAAUUCCUAUUUCCUUAAUCAUUCCUAUUGACCAUGUUCUAUAAGCCUGCAUUCUAUAAAUGGCGUAUGACCAUGGGCUGUUUCCCCCCAGCAAGUUGUACAAAGUUCUGUGGUACCAGGGAAAGGGCUUAAGGUUAGCAGGGCCUCUGCGGAAGGACAUAUGAAGUGACUUGGGUUAGGAAACAGGAAGGGAUAGGAUUCAAGAACAGCUAUUGCUUCUGUUCUAUAUAGGAAACUGCAGCGUGAAAAAUGCUGGGCUGGGAAUUUUGAGACCUGGGUUUUAGUUUGUGUUCUAAUACUAACAAGCUAUGUGACUGUGGGUAAGUCAUUUCACAUUCCAUUUGGAUGCCUCUUGAGUGACUCCAGGCCUCUCCAGCUCUAAAACAUUAAGAUCAGGCCCUACGCUACAGCUGGCCAGUGUGUAAUUCUUCUGUUUCUAUGCUGUUAGGUCAAAUAGAUCUUCAAUAGUUACUUGAUUGUUAUUACUUUUUUCUGAAGUGGGUGUUUUAUCAAUGUUUUAGGAUACAGUGAGUCUGCUUCUCCCCUUUGGAGUUAGGAAGGUUGUAGGAAUAUACACUGUAGAGCAUAUGGGAGCUUUAUCCCCUCCUUUUUUCCCCGCUACCUUUCUCCCUCUCCUUCCCUUCAUCACAUUUCUAUUGAGCAUAUGCCAUUGCCGUGUACCAGGUGUGUGCUAGGUUUGGAGAUACAAGGUAAACCUGAGACUUUCCCAGUCUCCAGGAGACAAAACCCUAAUUUCUUUCAUCUGCUGUCUUUCUCUUUGGAAAGAAUCAACGAUAUCCCAGGGGAAUGUGCCCAUGUCCCAGGGUAACCAACUACAGACAGAUGCCCCAUUCUACUCAAGCAACUUUUAGAGUGCCUUGAGAUACACAUCAGAUAAUUAUGCAGGGCCAGGCAUGGUGCUGCACACUUGUAAUCACAGCACUUUGGGAGGCCGAGGCAGCAGAUUGCUUGAGCCCAGGAAUUCAAGUGUAGCCUAGGGAACAUGGCAAAACCCCAGCUCUACAAAAAAAUACACAAAUUAGCUGCGUGUGGUGGCCUAUGACAGGAGGCUGAGAUGGGAGGAUUGCUUGAGCCUGUGAGGUCGAGGCUGCAGUGAGCCGAGAUCAUGCCAUUACUCCAGCCUGGGUGACAUAGGGAGACCCUGUCUUGAAAAAAAAAAAAAAAAGAUAAUUAUUCAGCCCUAGAGUCAUUGUGAAAAGAUCUAUCUUCAGAUAUAAGGAAGAAACAAUCUUUUAUUUCUUAGGAUAAAUCUGUAGAAGGACCUCCAGACAGUGAAGGCCACUGACUACUUUAUACUCUGUAAGCCAUCCCUCCCUGGUAGGAAGGACUAUUUCCAAUCUUACAGAGUACCUCUCAGCAAAUAGACGUUUUCACAUAUACUGUGAUUCAUACAUCCCUAUGGCUGGUGACCUCUUUAAAAAGGAAAGGAAAAAGCCUAAUCAAACAAAAAGAUGCUGCUAGUAAUUCUUACCCUAUUGUGAAUCCUAUAUAAGCAAAUUUGUAUCUUUGUUUUUUCCUACAUUAGCAGAUCUAUUUGAUGUAUAUCUCUGAGUGCAGAAAAUAUUUUAUGGAAAAAUCAAUAUAUGGAAUUUCAAAUUCAGAAUUGCUGAUACACACUAUUUGGUUUCACAAUUUUAUCCUAGGAAAUAGUAUUAGAGAUUUCAAUUUCUGGCUUAAAUGGUAGAAUUAAUUACUCUUAACUCUUAAUUUUACUUCUGAGUUGAGGUCAAGGAACAGGCAGACACCUGCAGUUAACGUCUAUACCUCUCCAUGGCCAAGAGUUUUAAUUUUCUCGUCUUCAAUUUUGUAGAUGUUCAUCAUUACUAAAUGGAUUGAUUAGUAUUUUAUCUCCUCUCCUUGUCCUUACUUUCCCUCUGGUAAAUAUGUUAUAAACAGUGUAAGGCUCCUAAGAUAGAGUAGCUGGUAGGACUUAGAAGAGAAACAAAGGGCACUGAUAACUCACAUAAAUGGAAAAUUGGCUCUGGAAUAACUGACAACAUAUUCAAGUAUUUUAGUGCAGUGUCACUCUCAUUAAGAAGAAGAGAAUCAGUAAAUCUAUGUGACUCUAAACAUUCUAAUGAAAAAAGGAAUAUUCUGCCAAUUAUCUCACAUUUCUAAAUAUCUGGAUAUUGGCCAUUGUAAAGACAAAACAUACAGAUGAUGGACUUGUCUUUCCACCUCUCAUUUGCAUGGUUUGGAGCAUUGUACCUCCAGCCAUAGACUCUAAGGCAAUUUAUAUUUGCUUCCUCUUCCCUCUUGAGAGAAAACGAAAAUCUUAUUUUUCCAAGCAAUUAAAACUCUUCUGCUUCAGCUAGGAUGAAAGAAUUAGGAGUUCUGUCUCCUUGUAUCUAAUUGCAUGUUUCAUCUUUCUUGUUUUAAUGAUUGACAGAAAACUAAUAAACUGAGACAUCUUUGAAUCCAGGUUGAAUGU